rnacentral:rRNA from 1 species
CCGUAGCCCAAGAGAUCGGGAUAACACCUGGAAACAGAUGCUAAUACCGGAUAACAACAGAUGAUGCCUAUCAACUGUUUAAAAGAUGGUUCUGCUAUCACUCUUGGAUGGACCUGCGGUGCAUUAGCUAGUUGGUGGGGUAACGGCCUACCAAGGCGAUGAUGCAUAGCCGAGUUGAGAGACUGAUCGGCCACAUUGGGACUGAGACACGGCCCAAACUCCCUACGGGAGGCAGCAGGC